rnacentral:miRNA from 1 species
GUAGCUGGUCAGGAGUGGCGGGUAUGUAUUUGGCCGAGGCUAGAGUCACAUCCUGACAUGGUACUUGUCCUGGUGUGCUACAGUUCUCGAAGAGAAUCUACUGGUCUUGAUUCAUUGGCAGG